GUGCUUGCUUUGGCAGCAUAUAUACUAAAAUUGGAAUGAUACAGAAAAGAUUAGCAUGUCCCCUGCACAAGAAUGACAUGAAAAUUCAUGAAGCAUUCCAUAUUUUU